UGGGAAGUCUUGCACAAUGGAGGCAACUCUGAUGCAGCGACGCCGCGUGAGCGAUGAAGCCUCGGGUGUGAAGCAUCUUUCGACGGGAAAGAUUAUGACGGUACCGAGAAGAAGCUGCGGCUAACUACGUGCCAGCAGCCGCGGUAAUACGUAGGCAGCGAGCGUUGUUCGGAAUUACUGGGCGUAAAGAGUGUGUAGGCGGUCUGAAUAGUCUGCUGUGAAAGCGCCUGGCUUAACCGGGCGAGGUCGGCGGAAACUCUCAGACUGGAGGCCGGUAGAGGG
rnacentral:rRNA from 1 species